rnacentral:rRNA from 1 species
CCUACGGGCGGCUGCAGUGGGGAAUAUUGGACAAUGGGGGCAACCCUGAUCCAGCCAUGCCGCGUGUGUGAAUAAGGCCCUCGGGUUGUAAAGCACUUUCAGUGAGGAAGAACGCCUGGUGGUUAAUACCCAUCAGGAAAGACAUCACUCACAGAAGAAGCACCGGCUAACUCCGUGCCAGCAGCCGCGGUAAUACGGAGGGUGCGAGCGUUAAUCGGAAUUACUGGGCGUAAAGCGCGCGUAGGUGGCUUGAUAAGCCGGUUGUGAAAGCCCCGGGCUCAACCUGGGAACGGCAUCCGGAACUGUCAAGCUAGAGUGCAGGAGAGGAAGGUAGAAUUCCCGGUGUAGCGGUGAAAUGCGUAGAGAUCGGGAGGAAUACCAGUGGCGAAGGCGGCCUUCUGGACUGACACUGACACUGAGGUGCGAAAGCGUGGGUAGCAAACAGGAUUAGAUACCCCUGUAGUC